rnacentral:rRNA from 1 species
AGUGAACGCUGGCGGUAGGCCUAACACAUGCAAGUCGAACGGCAGCACAGUAAGAGCUUGCUCUUACGGGUGGCGAGUGGCGGACGGGUGAGGAAUACAUCGGAAUCUACUUUUUCGUGGGGGAUAACGUAGGGAAACUUACGCUAAUACCGCAUACGACCUACGGGUGAAAGCAGGGGAUCUUCGGACCUUGCGCGAUUGAAUGAGCCGAUGUCGGAUUAGCUAGUUGGCGGGGUAAAGGCCCACCAAGGCGACGAUCCGUAGCUGGUCUGAGAGGAUGAUCAGCCACACUGGAACUGAGACACGGUCCAGACUCCUACGGGAGGCAGCAGUGGGGAAUAUUGGACAAUGGGCGCAAGCCUGAUCCAGCCAUACCGCGUGGGUGAAGAAGGCCUUCGGGUUGUAAAGCCCUUUUGUUGGGAAAGAAAAUCAGCAUGUUAAUACCCCGCUGUUCUGACGGUACCCAAAGAAUAAGCACCGGCUAACUUCGUG